AGAAUUCAAGGCUGGACAUAUGAACGAGGCAGCUAGUUACCAAUACAAAAGCGCUGACUUCGUGAAAGUCUGUUUUGAGUUUGGAUCGGUCACUGGUGGUCUACUCCCAGCGGUGAAAUUCGUUCUCAGUCAGAUUGGAGUUGAUGCUGGCCCACCAAGAUAUCCCAUGAAACCUCUGGAUGAGUCGAGUAAACAAAAAUUGAUGGACAGACUUAACGAUAUCAAAUUCUUUGACUGGCAUUCAAAGGGGGAUUGAUGUUUUAAAAACGUGCUUUAUAAACAUUAAUUAGUGUUAACAUACACGGGACAUGUAGUUGAUAUUUCUUAAUUAAACUAUUCAGAAACAAC
rnacentral:sRNA from 1 species